CCUACGGGGGGCAGCAGUGGGGAAUAUUGGACAAUGGGCGAAAGCCUGAUCCAGCCAUGCCGCGUGUGUGAAGAAGGCCUUCGGGUUGUAAAGCACUUCCAGUGGGGAAGAAAGCCUUGGGGCUAAUACCCUCGAGGAAGGACAUCACCCACAGAAGAAGCACCGGCUAACUCCGUGCCAGCAGCCGCGGUAAUACGGAGGGUGCGAGCGUUAAUCGGAAUUACUGGGCGUAAAGCGCGCGUAGGCGGUCUGAUAAGCCGGUUGUGAAAGCCCCGGGCUCAACCUGGGAACGGCAUCCGGAACUGUCAGGCUAGAGUGCAGGAGAGGAAGGUAGAAUUCCCGAUGUAGCGGUGAAAUGCGUAGAGAUCGGGAGGAAUACCAGUGGCGAAGGCGGCCUUCUGGACUGACACUGACGCUGAGGUGCGAAAGCGUGGGUAGCAAACAGGAUUAGAUACCCCUGUAGUC
rnacentral:rRNA from 1 species